GUGGGGAAUUUUGGACAAUGGGCGCAAGCCUGAUCCAGCCAUGCCGCGUGGGUGAAGAAGGCCUUCGGGUUGUAAAGCCCUUUUGUACGGGAAGAAAUCAUUCGGGUUAAUACCCUGGGUGGAUGACGGUACCGUAAGAAUAAGCACCGGCUAACUACGUGCCAGCAGCCGCGGUAAUACGUAGGGUGCGAGCGUUAAUCGGAAUUACUGGGCGUAAAGCGUGCGCAGGCGGUGCUGUAAGACAGGCGUGAAAUCCCCGGGCUCAACCUGGGAAUUGCGCUUGUGACUGCAGUGCUGGAGUACGGCAGAGGGGGAUGGAAUUCCGCGUGUAGCAGUGAAAUGCGUAGAUAUGCGGAGGAACACCGAUGGCGAAGGCAGUCCCCUGGGCCUGUACUGACGCUCAUGCACGAAAGCGUGGGGAGCAAACAGGAUUAGAUACCCUAGUAGUCC
rnacentral:rRNA from 1 species